GCCCGGAUGGUCUAGUGGUAUGAUUCUCGCUUUGGGAUGGUUUAAUCUUAAAUGCGAGAGGCCCCGCGUUCGAAUCGCGGUUCGGGCC